CCCCAGUCCACCAUACUUUUCUCUCUCACUCAGCAUGGACAGGGCAGGACCAGAGCCUUCAGCGCUUCCGGGUUUUACCUCCUGUGUCGCUCUGUUUCCUGUCUGUCCUCCUCUGUGAUUGGCCGCGGUCGGAGAGGAACCAUCGGGGCCGAGGAGCCGACAUCCAUCACCUGCUAUUUAUCAGCGGCGAGCGGCCGACGGAGCGCCGCAAAGUUUUAUAAGAGACGAAGAAAAAUAAUAACUGAGCGGCAGAAACAAUCAUCAGAUAGAUGGAGGAGGCCGUUAUUAGAUUAAAACUCCUCUGACAGUCGGCCUCAACUCCUCACAUCAACACUUUAUCUGCUCCAUGUGUCCGGAAAAAAUAAACUCUGUGAUGGAGCAAAGAUUCAGCUGCACUUUUGUAAUUUGUGCGAACAGGACGAAUCUGAUUGCUGCUGCAGAUCCAGUAAACUGAA